UACGUAGGGGGCAAGCGUUGUCCGGAUUUAUUGGGCGUAAAGGGCGCGCAGGCGGUUGGGUAAGUUUGGAGUGACAGUGCUCGGCUUAACUGAGCAAGGCCUCUGAAAACUGCUUGACUUGAGGACCAGAGAGGGACAUAGAAUUCCGGGUGGAGUGGUGAAAUGCGUAGAUAUCCGGAGGAAUACCAAAGGCGAAGGCAGUGUCCUGGAGGGUUACUGACGCUGAGGCGCGAAAGCUAGGGGAGCGAACAGG
rnacentral:rRNA from 1 species